rnacentral:rRNA from 1 species
GACGAACGCUAGCGGCGUGCUUAACACAUGCAAGUCGAACGGAAAGGACCUGCUUUUUUGGGGUGCUCGAGUGGCAAACGUGUGAGUAACACGUGAGUAACCUGCCUAUGACUUUGGUAUAACUUCAGGAAACUGAGGAUAAUCCCGGAUAGUAGCACCUGCUGCAUGGUUGGUGUUGAAAAGUUUCGGCGGUUGGGGAUGGACUGCGGGCUAUUCAGUAGGUUGGUGGGGUAGUGGCUUACCAAGGCUUUGACGGGUAGCCGGCCUGAGAGGGGGACCGGCCACAUUGGGACUGAGAUACGGGCCGCACUCGUACGGAAGGCAGCAGAAUGGAAGAUUGCACAAUGGGCGGAAGCCGGAUGCAGCAACACGGCGUUCGGGAUGAUGGCCUUCGGGUUGUAGGGCGCUUUCGCCGAUGACGAAGCGUGAGUGACGGUAAUGGGUAAAGAAGCACCGGCUAACUACGUG